AAAGCCCUGCUGUGCUCGUUGCAACUCUGAUGGUUUAAGCCAACACCAACACCUUGGGGACUUAGCUUCUCCGCGCGGCACUCAGGCCCCCGCCCGACGGCGAUGGGGAGGAGCAAAGGCGGUGAGAGGGUACCCACCUGCGAGAGCAGGUUUAAAACCGUCAGGUGCCACGGCAUGGUGGGGUUUCC
rnacentral:other from 1 species